GGGGCCCCGCACAAGCAGCGGAGCGUGUGGUUUAAUUCGAUGCAACGCGAAGAACCUUUACCUACUCUUGACAUCCAGAGAAUUUGCUAGACGAUACCGUCUUAGUGCCUUCGGGAACUCUGAGACAGGUGCUGCAUGGCUGUCGUCAGCUCGUGUUGUGAAAUGUUGGGUUAAGUCCCGCAACGAGCGCAACCCUUAUCCUUUGUUGCCAGCGAGUAAUGUCGGGAACUCAAAGGAGACUGCCGGUGAUAAACCGGAGGAAGGUGGGGAUGACGUCAAGUCAUCAUGGCCCUUACGAGUAGGGCUACACACGUGCUACAAUGGCAUAUACAAAGAGAAGCGAACUCGCGAGAGCAAGCGGACCUCAUAAAGUAUGUCGUAGUCCGGAUUGGAGUCUGCAACUCGACUCCAUGAAGUCGGAAUCGCUAGUAAUCGUAGAUCAGAAUGCUACGGUGAAUACGUUCCCGGGCCUU
rnacentral:rRNA from 1 species